rnacentral:rRNA from 1 species
GGUUGCGAUCAUACCUGCACUAAUGCACCGGAUCCCAUCAGAACUCCGCAGUUAAGCGUGCUUGGGCGAGAGUGGAACUAGGAUGGGUGACCUCCUGGGAAGUCCUCGUGUUGCAACCC